rnacentral:rRNA from 1 species
AGCAGCCGCGGUAAUUCCAGCUCCAAUAGCGUAUAUUAAAGUUGUUGCAGUUAAAAAGCUCGUAGUUGAAUUUCGGGGUUAGUAGGUCGGUCGUGCCACAGGUAUGUACUGGUCUCACUGAUUCCUCCUUCCUGAUGAACCGUAAUGCCAUUAAUUUGGUGUUGCGGGGAAACUGGACUGUUACUUUGAAAAAAUUAGAGUGUUUAAAGCAGGCUAACGCUUGAAUACAUUAGCAUGGAAUAAUGAAAUAGGACGUUCGAUCCUAUUUUGUUGGUUUCUAGGAUUGACGUAAUGAUUAAUAGGGAUAGUUGGGGGCAUUAGUAUUCAAUUGUCAGAGGUGAAAUUCUUGGAUUUAUUGAAGACUAACUACUGCGAAAGCAUUUGCCAAGGAUGUUUUCAUUAAUCAAGAACGAAAGUUAGGGGAUCGAAGACGAUCAGAUACCGUCGUAGUCUUAACCAUAAACUAUGCCGACUAGGGAUCGGAUGAUGUUAAUUUUUUAAUGACUCAUUCGGCGCCUUA